rnacentral:rRNA from 1 species
GCCUACGACCAUCUCACCCUGAAUGCGCCCGAUCUCGUCUGAUCUCGGAAGCUAAGCAGAGUCGAGCCUGGUUAAUACUUGGAUGGGAGACUGCCUGGGAAUACAAGGUGUUGUAGGCU